CAGGGGAAAACUGCAUGAUUUCUAGUAACUGUCCCUAGAUGAAGAAGUAACAACAUGGACUCAUAUCUUCCCAGGGAUGAGAGGCCAGGACUGAAAUGGGCUGCAGGGGCCAGAAGUAACAAUAUAGCCAACAUUGUUCGAGGUCUUGUUGCUACAAAGCUGCUGUUUGGGAUGUAUGAGUAAAGACAGCACCGGCUUCCGAACUGCAAGAUUUAUCAGAUGCAGAUGAACAGUCAGUCAAGCACGGGUUUUCUAGAACACGAGGCUACUGAGGGCUUAAACUAGUUUACUUUUCGUGAUGUUAAGACCUUAUGAGGUACUUGAUAUCGUGUGUGGGCAGAAAUGCAGAAUGGUACCACCAGUCACUGAAGCCACCUUUCUCAUCACGGACGAGAGACCUGUCAGACAGUG